GCGCCGGUGAUGUAACGCGAGCAUGCCCGCCUCUCCAGGCGGGAAGUGGCGGUUCGAUGCCGCCCCGGCGCUCCA
rnacentral:tRNA from 1 species